AUUGAACGCUGGCGGCAUGCCUUACACAUGCAAGUCGAACGGCAGCACGGGAGCAAUCCUGGUGGCGAGUGGCGAACGGGUGAGUAAUAUAUCGGAACGUGCCCAGUCGUGGGGAUAACGUAGCGAAAGCUACGCUAAUACCGCAUACGAUCUAUGGAUGAAAGCGGGGGAUCGCAAGACCUCGCGCGAUUGGAGCGGCCGAUAUCAGAUUAGGUAGUUGGUGAGGUAAAGGCUCACCAAGCCGACGAUCCGUAGCUGGUCUGAGAGGACGACCAGCCACACUGGGACUGAGACACGGCCCAGACUCCUACGGGAGGCAGCAGUGGGGAAUUUUGGACAAUGGGCGCAAGCCUGAUCCAGCAAUGCCGCGUGCAGGAUGAAGGCCUUCGGUUGGUAACUAGCUUUUGUACGGUAACG
rnacentral:rRNA from 1 species